rnacentral:lncRNA from 1 species
AACAUUUGAGUAUUAUCUAACCAUAGGUCAAAAGAUUCAAAAUAUGGGGCAUUAGAGGAUAACUUAUCACUGAUGCAAAGUAUUGAAGAUAAUCAAUGAUCAUCUAACAAUAGAUUUGUAACAAUGAAAGUUAUAAAGCCCCAAGUCCAUCUAACAAUAGUUUGACAAAUGGAAUAUUGUAUCACUCAAUGAUUACAAGUUAAUGGUUGAUUAGUGAUUAAGUUAUGGAUUGAUUAAGUUAUGUACAAGUUAAACAAAUGAAACACAAGUGUUAGAAGGUUAGUAAAUUAUGGAAUCAAAAGAAGAAAGGGGAUUAGCAAGUUAGUAUACACAAACAUGGCUUCAUCUAUGUAUCAAAUGACUUAAGUUUGGUUGAAAUAGAGGUAACCUAUCAAUGCUUCAAAGUAUCAUGAAUGAUCUAUUGAUCAUUCAUUGAUAGGUUUGAAGCAUUGAACGUUUUAUCAACCCUAAAUAACCAAAGUCAUGACCUAAUAGAGUUCAUUAACUAUCAUCAUUCAAGACAUAAAAAUUCCACAAAAUAAGUCCAAAUAAAAUAAAAUAAGAGUAGAAUAAAAUAAAAGGGAGAAGAAUAAUGAGGGUGUGUAUUGAAAACUUUUUAAUUAGAACUAAAAUGGGUGGUGAAAAAAAUAAAACGAAAAUGAAAAUAAAUGGUUGGUAAAUAGAAAAAUAAAAUAAAAGAAAGAAAAUAACUAAAAACAAAGUGAGGGUGUUAGGGGUUGAACCCCUGGCCUUGGGGUCAUGGGGUCAACCCCCAUCCAUUUGGCCAAGCGCCUUGUGAUGACAAAGGAGCGCUUCAGAGAAUAAAAUAUUUAAACUUAAUAAAAAAUGAAACACGUGCUAAGCAGCCAAUCAGGACAAGACACGAAAUUUCUUUGAAUUCAAAAAAUGCAUGAAGCAAUGAACAUGAAGUCGUCUUCAACCUUCAACCACCAAAAUCUAAACUCUGAAACUCGUGUUUUUAGAGGUAAUCACUCAUGGAUUCAACCUCCCCACACUUCAUCGUUUUUAUCUUCACACUCAUGAGCCAUUGAUUGGCUAUGAGUGUGGAGAAUUUCUCAAGAUCACAGAAAUACAAUUUGACCUAAAAACAAAAUUAAAUGGUGAAUAUGAAGUAAUCAAGAUUUAGACUAUGGGGUUAAGCAUCAACAAGUGAUUUUGAGCAAGAGGGUAACUUGUUUGGGUGAAGGGGAUGAGUGGAACUACCUGGUCGAAAUCAGUUUCAGAGAUGAAAUCUGAUGGCUAUGGACAACUCAGGGAAGGAGGUUGCAAGGUUUGUUAGUGUUUCAGAAAGCUUUUGUGAUGUUGAGGUAAGGAUUCUGGGUGCUUGGUUUGGAUUAAAAUGGUUUAGAACUUAAAAACUGCAACUCUGUUUUCAAUGGAGGAAGGUGGUUUCGAGGCAGAGUGAUUUUGGCUUGAAAAACUUGCGAAGUUCAUGGAAUACCUUCCCCUAUUUACAUGAAAUGUGAUGGAAGUGUUUGGUGGAAGAAUGAAAAUGGUUUAUUCAGAAAAUGGUGAAGGCUUGAAGCAUGCUCAAAGUUGAAACUUAUUGGACAAGUGUGGUUGUGUUAUGACUUGGUCUUCCACUCCACUCAUUUUUUUUUCAACUAAG